UAUAUAUUAUAUUAUAAUACAAAUUAUAUUUUAAUAUAACAAAUAUAUAUAUAUAUAUAUAUAUAUAUAUAUAUAUAUAUAUAUAUAUAUAUAUUUGUUAUAUUAAAAUCUAAUUUGUAUAUUUAGGAACAGAAGAUGGCUAGGUUGAGAUAUUUGUCCACUAGCAUUUUCCCUGUUAAAUAAGUGGUUUUAUACCUGGUUUAUUUGGUAUACAAACCUGACCAAGCUGGUUGACCCGGUGGUUUACCAACCUGAGCAGUUGACAAGUUCUCAUAACCUCUCUUCAGCCUAUGUGGAAAACAGCCACUUUAAACCAGUUUACGCAGUUGCUUUCAGUAUUGCAUGUGUUUUUGUUUGUGUUGCAUUAGCCCGAGUUACAUUAAUAACUGAAAUAUGUACAGAGCUUUUAAAAACUGAAUGUCAGUGUCUAUUGAUACUGUGUAUCUGGAGACAACAUAUCGAGGCAGUUUGCAUGUAGAAUGACAGAUAGUCCAACUAUUAGUAGUCAGAUACUGUAAAUUGUAUGAAAAGAAUAUAAAUUGUGAGAAUAUAAGCUUGUUAUCGGUACUGUGUAUCACUUAUGUCACAAGAUUGUUCUCAUUACAAAUUCAGGAGAAAUAUAAAACCGCUUCAGGCCAGAAACAAACAUACACAAAGACGUGCAGAUGUGAAUGUUUGGUGUUAUUGAGAUACUUAGCUAAAAACGUCAACAGUUUACUUCACUUUCUCAACAGUAUUGCCUCAACAUGAAAUAGAAAAAUGACCGCAGAGAACAUUGUGGUGUGUCUUGCACCAUAGACACUGCUUUUUAAAGACUGCGUAUAUGUCUGUUUGCACGUGUCAGGAUGAUAUCUUUGACUGUUGUGAUAUCUUGCUGUUUUUUAGCAUUUUAUGCAAUUUUGUGCAUUUUGAACUCUAGCUAUAAAAAAAGUUAAAAAAAUCUCUUUAGAGCCCUUAUAGAGAGGGGUUUGAGUGAAAGUAGCCAAAAACAGGCUAAAGAUGCACUCAAUAUAGAUAAAAUAUGAAGGCCUGAAUUUAAGAUUUAUGUAUUUGAAUUAAUUUGUUUAUUUCAUACAUUUGAACUAAUUGAAAAAAAAAGUGACUAUUGCUUGUUCCGCAGCUGUAGCUGUAUUUUAAACGUUCAUACUUUUGCCUCAUUAAAUGUAUUUAUUUUCAAAAUAAACAUAAUUCUAAACAAUUGGAACAAAUUCAUUUAGAAAAAUAAUUAUUUGAAUAAAAUGAAAUUUGUGCAAAUAAUUAAUAAUCAAUAAUUUUUUUUUUCUUAUUUGAAAUAAAUGUUAACUUGAGUAAAUAAUUAACAACAAAAAAAAUAGAAAUUGUAAGUUUAAAAAAAAAAAAUUCAGCUAGUUACCAAGGCAACUUAAAAAAAAAAACAUAACAAUAAAAACUAUAAUAAGUAUUUAAAUUAUACUAAUGUACCACUGAGAAUAGUUUAUAAUGAAUUAUGCCAUCUUUUUUUUUUUAUACUUGACAAAUAUGCAUCACAUUAAGUUAAUUAGUUUGUUUAUGUUAAUACUGCGCAAUUCAAAAGUAUGGAAGUUUCAUAUGCAAUUAAGAUGCAUAAAUAUUAAAUUUAGGCCUAUUUUUUGAGUGCAGUUAGAUGAUGCAUGACAAUACAGUAUGUGAUGCGUAUGGAAUAGAUAGAUAGAUAGAUAGAUAGAUAGAUAGAUAGAUAGAUAGAUAGAUAGAUAGAUAGAUAGAUAGAUAGAUAGAUGUUGCUGUCCUGCGUUCCAUCAGAGGGAUUUGCAAGAAACAGAUGGUUUUAUGUCAAUCGUUUGCACGUGUUUGGAUAAGAAUUCACUAAUUACUAAUGUGCAUAAUUAGGACUAAUUAAGUUGUCAGAACAGCACACAGGCAUUAAGAAGACAUAAGAGGGCCAGUUCCUCGGAAAGCAGCGGGUGAUGGAGCCACCAUGGCGCAUUUCAACAAGUGCUUUAUUCCGACACAGGCAACACAUGCUGUUUCUGCACAGAUUGUGACGUCACUUUCGGCUGCUUUCUGAAGGACUUUGUGGCCUUUCCAGCCAAAAUCGGCCCUAUCCGAGCGUCCUCAGACCUCCACCUCAGUAUCUCUGUAAUAUAGCUGUUUGUUUGUGUGUGUGAGUGUGUGUAUGUCUGUACAUUCUCCGGCCUUCUCACGGCAGGCAUGAUGGGUCGUGAUUCUGUUUCAGACAAAUGGAUUUGAUUCCCCUUAUUACUGUCUUUGAGAAAUCAAUGACGCAACUGAAGAACAGCGGAAAAUAACAGAACGUUGUCUUCCACAAGGACGCAUUCUGUGCUGUGAUGUAAUGUUUCUUUGAACGUCAUUUGUUUUACAGUUCUCCCUGUCCUUUGUUUUUAGGUGUGUGUAAAUUUUUUAAUCCACGAAAAGGAGAAAAAUGUCAAGAAUUUAAAUGGAAGGAGAAAAAUAAAGCGAAUUUUGUUUUUAACAUAA
ensembl:lncRNA